UACGUAGGAGGCAAGCGUUGUCCGGAGUACUGGGCGUAAAGCGCACGCAGGCGGUCGCAUCAGUCUGGGGUGACAGUUCCCGGCCUAACCGGGAAAGUGCUCUGGAAACUGUGCGACUUGAGGGCUUCAGAGGGAUGUGGAAUUCCAGGUGGAGUGGUGAAAUGCGUAGAGAUCUGGAAGAACACCAAAGGCGAAGGCAGCAUCCUGGGAAGUUCCUGACGCUCGGGGUGCGAAAGCCAGGGGAGCGAACGGG
rnacentral:rRNA from 1 species